rnacentral:rRNA from 1 species
CCCUUAGAUGUUCUGGGCCGCACGCGCGCUACACUGAUGCAUUCAACGAGUCUAAAACCUGCUCUGAUAGGGGUGGGUAAUCUUUUGAAUGUGCAUCGUGAUUGGGAUAGAUGAUUGCAAUUUUUCAUCUUCAACGAGGAAUGCCUAGUAAACGCAAGUCAUCAGCUUGCAUUGAUUACGUCCCUGCCCUUUGUACACACCGCCCGUCGCGCCUACCGAUUGAAUGAUCCGAUGAAUAUCAUGGAUUGAGGAUGCAAGCAGGUUCGCCUGUCUUCAUCUUCGAGAAGUGAAGUAAAUCUUAUCAUUUAGAGGAAGGAGAAGUCGUAACA